UCUGGUUGAUCCUGCCUGAACUGAUGUGUUUAUUUCAAAGAUUAAGCCAUGCAUGUAUAAGUUUAAUCGUUUAUCGAGAAACCGCGAACGGCUCAUUACAAUGGCCAUGAUUUACUUGAUCUUGAUUAUCUAAAUGGAUAACUGUGGAAAAGCUAGAGCUAAUACAUGCACUAAAGCUUUGUCCUUACAGAAAAGCGCAUUUAUUAGAACAAAACCACGCGGCUUCGGCUGCUUCUUGUUGACUCAGAAUAACUAAGCUGACCGCAUGGCCUUGUGCCGGCGGCGUGUCUUUCAAGCGUCCACUUUAUCAACUUGACGGGAGCAUAAUCGACUCCCGUGGUGGUGACGGAUAACGGAGGAUCAGGGUUCGACUCCGGAGAAGGGGCCUGAGAAAUGGCCACUACGUCUAAGGAUGGCAGCAGGCGCGCAAAUUACCCACUCUCGGCUCGAGGAGGUAGUGACGAGAAAUAACGAGACUGUUCUCUUUGAGGCCGGUCAUCGGAAUGGGUACAAUUUAAACCCUUUAACGAGUAUCAAGCAGAGGGCAAGUCUGGUGCCAGCAGCCGCGGUAAUUCCAGCUCUGCAAGUACAUAGAAUUAUUGCUGCGGUUAGAAAGCUCAUAGUUGGAUUCGUAUCGAUACCUUGGAACCCUUCGGGUGUCUCUAGGUGUUAUCGAUUUAUCGUAAUGUUCGGUUUUGAGUCCUUAACAGGAUUCUUAACAGGCAUUGCAAGUUUACUUUGAACAAAUCAGAGUGCUUCAAACAGGCGUUUUCGCUUGAAUGAUCGUGCAUGGAAUAAUAGAAAAUGAUUUCGGUUCAGUUUUAUUGGUUUUACGGACUGAGAUAAUGGUUAACAGAGACAAACGGGGGCAUUUGUAUGGUCCCGUGAGAGGUGAAAUUCUUGGACCGUGGCCAGACAAACUACAGCGAAAGCAUUUGCCAAGAAUGUUUUUAUUAAUCAAGAACGAAAGUCAGAGGUUCGAAGGCGAUCAGAUACCGCCCUAGUUCUGACCGUAAACGAUGCCAACUAGCGAUCCGCCGAUGGAAAUUAUAUUGCCUUGGUGGGGAGCUUCCCGGAAACGAAAGUCUUCCGGUUCCGGGGGAAGUAUGGUUGCAAAGCUGAAACUUAAAGGAAUUGACGGAAGGGCACCACCAGGAGUGGAGCCUGCGGCUUAAUUUGACUCAACACGGGGAAACUCACCCGGCCCGGACACUGUGAGGAUUGACAGAUUGAUAGCUUUUUCAUGAUUCAGUGGAUGGUGGUGCAUGGCCGUUCUUAGUUCGUGGAGUGAUUUGUCUGGUUUAUUCCGAUAACGAGCGAGACUCUAACCUACUAAAUAGUUGGUACAUACUCUUAGUGUAUACAGCUUCUUAGAGGGAUUUGCGGCGUUCAGCCGAAAGAAAUUGAGCAAUAACAGGUCUGUGAUGCCCUUAGAUGUCCGGGGCUGCACGCGCGCUACACUGGCAAAAUCAACGUGCUUGUCCUACCCUGAAAGGGGCGGGUAAACCAUUGAAAAUUUGCCGUGAUUGGGAUCGGAAAUUGCAAUUAUUUUCCGUGAACGAGGAAUUCCAAGUAAGUGCGAGUCAUCAGCUCGCGUUGAUUACGUCCCUGCCCUUUGUACACACCGCCCGUCGCUGCCCGGGACUGAGCCAUUUCGAGAAAUUUGGGGACCGUUGAUUUAAUUUUUCUAAAUUACUUUGAUGGAAACCAAUUUAAUCGCAGUGGCUUGAACCGGGCAAAAGUCGUAACAAGGUAGCUGUAGGUGAACCUGCUGCUG
rnacentral:rRNA from 1 species